AGCGAACGCUGGCGGCAGGCCUAACACAUGCAAGUCGAACGAACUCUUCGGAGUUAGUGGCGGACGGGUGAGUAACACGUGGGAACGUGUCUUUUGGUUCGGAAUAACUCAGGGAAACUUGUGCUAAUACCGAAUGUGCCCUUCGGGGGAAAGAUUUAUCGCCAUUAGAGCGGCCCGCGUCUGAUUAGCUAGUUGGUGAGGUAACGGCUCACCAAGGCGACGAUCAGUAGCUGGUCUGAGAGGAUGACCAGCCACACUGGGACUGAGACACGGCCCAGACUCCUACGGGAGGCAGCAGUGGGGAAUCUUGCGCAAUGGGCGAAAGCCUGACGCAGCCAUGCCGCGUGAAUGAUGAAGGUCUUAGGAUUGUAAAAUUCUUUCACCGGGGACGAUAAUGACGGUACCCGGAGAAGAAGCCCCGGCUAACUUCGUG
rnacentral:rRNA from 1 species